AUUGAACGCUGGCGGCAUGCCUUACACAUGCAAGUCGAACGGUAACAGGUCUUCGGAUGCUGACGAGUGGCGAACGGGUGAGUAAUACAUCGGAACGUGCCUAGUAGUGGGGGAUAACUACUCGAAAGAGUGGCUAAUACCGCAUGAGAUCUACGGAUGAAAGCAGGGGAUCGCAAGACCUUGUGCUACUAGAGCGGCCGAUGGCAGAUUAGGUAGUUGGUGGGAUAAAAGCUUACCAAGCCGACGAUCUGUAGCUGGUCUGAGAGGACGAUCAGCCACACUGGGACUGAGACACGGCCCAGACUCCUACGGGAGGCAGCAGUGGGGAAUGUUGGACAAUGGGCGAAGGCCUGAUUCAGCAAUGCCGCGUGCAGGAUGAAGGCCUUCGGGUUGUAAACUGCUUUUGUACGGAACGAAAAGCCCCGGGUUAAUACCCUGGGGUCAUGACGGUACCGUAAGAAUAAGCACCGGCUAACUACGUGCCAGCCGCCGCAGUAA
rnacentral:rRNA from 1 species